GUCCACGCCCUAAACGGUGGAUGCUAGGUGUGGGGGGUGUCGACCCCCUCUGUGCCGUAGCUAACGCUUUAAGCAUCCCGCCUGGGGAGUACGGCCGCAAGGCUAAAACUCAAAGGAAUUGACGGGGGCCCGCACAAGCGGCGGAGCGUGUGGUUUAAUUCGAUGCAACGCGAAGAACCUUACCAGGGCUUGACAUGCUGGUGGUACGGAUCCGAAAGGUGAAGGACCCUUCGGGGAGCCAGCACAGGUGCUGCAUGGCUGUCGU
rnacentral:rRNA from 1 species